UCCAAAUGCAGAUGUACCCUGAAUGCUGAGGGAAGGUUUGUGGCUGGAAGGAGCUAGAACAGCAGAAGGUACAGGAGAACAUAACUUCUGGACUGCCCUGUGCUUGAAGGCAUCUGAAAGACAAAAGCCUGGUCUGGAAAUGGUGAUUAACUUCUGACAGACUCAGUGACCUGGGAUAGAGGAGAAUAACUUUGAAGAACGGCAGUUUGCCACUACAUGGCCAAGGAAAUCCUUGCUGCUUUGGGGCCAGCUGUGGUCCUCUUCACUCUGAAUGGUGGUAGAGAGAGAUGGUUACCAUCCUUCCCCCUGGCUGGAGGAUUUGGCCAGGUCUCCACAGGCGUACCAGAUACCUAACUCCAGAGUUAUCAGGGGAUCAGCAUCAGCCUGGAAAAGGGAGAGGAAGUUGAAAUAAGAGGCUCCUGUCUCUGGCAGCCAUGGUGCUCAUUCCUUCACUGCCUGUGUCACCUACCCUAUGUGACACUACUGACCUCCCACUGGAGGACACACUGGUGGUAAAAGUCCUGCACAAAAAUCCAUCAUGUCCAUGUUGUGGGAACCAGACAGGAUGGAUCCUGGGACUGACUGAACAUCUCAAGAGUUAGAAUGAGAAGAGAAAGUUUGUGUUUUUGUGCCAAAUGAGGAAAGCCAAAGGUAAAUCAUUGACAGAAUUGCUUGACAUGUCCCAUGGUACAAAGGGAUUCAGAAAAGAUUCCUGCUGAGGGAUGGAUUUGUUAGAUAUGUGGAAAAUGAUUCAAAAUUAAAAUCAUCCUGGAGCAACACAAAAAGCUGGCCCACCCAGUUGUCACGAAUAUUGAGUGGAUCACUGCUUCCCACCCCAAAUAAAGAUCUGCACAAGAGGCACGUUGAACCAAGGAGGAAAAUCUGAAUGGGCAGUAUGGGGGGAGAAAAACCUUAAACACGUUGAUUGGAGAGUAUAUUCUGUCAAAAAACAUGAAACAGAUAAGAGGUAAAAAAAAAAAAAAAAAAAGUAUUAUAUAAGAGCCCAGUGAAAAAAAAGAGGGACCUGGAAUGGGAAACAUGUUGCUGCCACUGAAUUGCAUGCAGAAAGGGAAUUGAAAUCCCACAAUGGAAGAGUUACCCAGACUGGUUACCCCCUGUAAAGCUGCCUCACAGGACCUUUGAGAGAAUGAUCAUCUGCAUUUGCUAACAAGUUGCAUAGCACUAUAACAUCUUGCUUGUAUUGUAUUUUUACUGUAACGCUUUCUACUUAAUACUUGAAACACAUUAUCCAUAGUGGGUUAGCUAGAGAUGUCCUGCCCAACAUUGUGUAAAAUGCUCCACUCUGGGUUCAUUGGCCAUCACAAGCCAGUUUCCAUUAGGGGCUGGUGGCAUAUAGGGAUGCUAAGUGGCUCUUAAGCAUAGUGUAACAUCUGUAACAUGAAUUUGAGGCAUAAACCACUUUUUUUUUUACUAAAAUGAAUGGGCCACCUAUACUUAAUUCGGAAAAAGAAUGUGUGUAAAUUAUGUGUUUUGUAAAUAGCACAAGGAUAAAUAUUCAGGUCCCUCAUGAGAGACUCUCCUCAAGCAUACAGCAGGGACAGGAUGAACUGAUGUAUUCUGCAGGUGCUUGUGCACUGACAGAGGUGGAUGAAGUAAAACCCCUGUCCUCAAAGGCGAAAAUCGAGUGGAAGGAAGGAAUUUGUCAGAGAUAGUCUCCAUAUGAGCUCAUCAGGCUGAGUCCUGCCUCAUCCCACCUUGUAAUAACCACCAAGGUGGGAGG